CAGUGUUAGGCUUCGGCCUCAUUCACACCCCUUGUUUAACCUCUGGUUUCUUUGGCGCUGUCAUGGACUCGUCAAACUUUAACUCUGGUAAUGUGGUACUGUCCGAGUGAUAUUGAAUUAUAA
rnacentral:misc_RNA from 1 species